GGAGGGGUACCCGAGCGGCCAAAGGGGCCGGGCUGUAAACCCGGUGGCGUGAUGCCUUCGGAGGUUCAAAUCCUCCCCCCUCCA
rnacentral:tRNA from 1 species